AGUUGCCUCCUCUUGAACUUUUUGCAAGGAUUUUAGAAAGAAAAGUUGCCAAGAAAAAGGCAUUGAGCACACCAGGGAAUGAGGGAAAGAAGAAGCCAAUUUUGAUGAUUUAUUUCUUCCCCCUCCAAAGUAAUUUCGGAAAGCGCAUUGGUCGUGUCAUAUAGUCAAACUUUGGAUUGGAGCAAAAAAGCUCUCUCUGAGACUAAGUAAUCAUGUACACGUACUAAGCUACAUGGCAACAUAGUUGUUCCCUUCCUCAAUCAUGGGAGCAUUCAGCACAGCUCAACUAGGUUGCUUGUUCAUUCUUUGGGGAUUAUAUAAAUAUAUAUAUGUAAUCUAUAUAUAUAUAUAUAUAUAUAUAUAUAUAUUGAUACUAUCUAAAGAACCAGUUUAGAGUUGUUUGUUAAAUAAUCUAGGUUGGAAUUUAUGCUAUUUAUACUACAUGGUAAAAUUCUGGUUUUGCUGGACAUCAUCACCCUGAAUUCUCCCUUUUCUACACCACCACUACUCAUUUUUUUCAUCUCUUGUUCUUUUCACCUUGCUGGCUGGGAAGUGAAGUCUGGCUAAUAGAGGCCGUGGUGCUCGUGUUGUUCGGUCAAAUCCUCUCACACAAACA